GACGAACGCUGGCGGCGUGCCUAACACAUGCAAGUCGAGCGAGUGAAUCUCCUUCGGGAGUGAAGCUAGCGGCGGACGGGUGAGUAACACGUGGGCAACCUGCCUCAUAGAGGGGAAUAGCCUUCCGAAAGGAAGAUUAAUACCGCAUAAGAUUGUAGCUUCGCAUGAAGUAGCAAUUAAAGGAGCAAUCCGCUAUGAGAUGGGCCCGCGGCGCAGUAGCUAGUUGGUGAGGUAACGGCUCACCAAGGCGACGAUGCGUAGCCGACCUGAGGGGGUGAUCGGACACAUUGGGACUGAGACACGGCCCAGACUCCUACGGGAGGCAGCAGUGGGGAAUAUUGCACAAUGGGGGAAACCCUGAUGCAGCAACGCCGCGUGAGUGAUGACGGCCUUCGGGUUGUAAAGCUCUGUCUUCAGGGACGAUAAUGACGGUACCUGAGGAGGAAGCCACGGCUAACUACGUGCCAGCCGCCGCAGUAAUAC
rnacentral:rRNA from 1 species